CCUACGGUGGGCAGCAGUGGGGAAUAUUGCACAAUGGGGGAAACCCUGAUGCAGCGACGCCGCGUGAGCGAUGAAGUAUUUCGGUAUGUCAAGCUCUAUCAGCAGGGAAGAAAAUGACGGUACCUGACUACGAAGCCCCGUCUAACUCCGUGCAGGCAGCCGCGGUAAUACGUCGGGGGCAAGCGUUAUCCGGAUUUACUGGGUGUAAAGUGAGCGUAGCCGGCGGUGCAAGUCAGAUGUGAAAGCCCGGGGCUAAACCCCGGGACUGCAUUUGGAACUGUGCUGCUAGAGUGUCGGAGAGGCAGGCGGAAUUCCUAGUGUAGCGGUGAAAUGCGUAGAUAUUAGGAGGAACACCAGUGGCGAAGGCGGCCUGCUGGACGAUGACUGACGUUGAGGCUCGAAAGCGUGGGGAGCAAACAGGAUUAGAUACCCGAGUAGUC
rnacentral:rRNA from 1 species